rnacentral:lncRNA from 1 species
UAAAUAAAGGCAACAGUAGUAUACCGCUGUUCAAAACUCAUAAAUCCAUGGACAGAAAACAAAAUCGGGGUAACAAACUAAAACCGAGGGAAACGCAUUAAAUAUAAGAGGAGAACAACGACAUAACACUGAAACGUAACACACACAGAAACGGACCAAGCAUCAGACAAAACACCACGAGAAUAACAAAUAUAACAUGAAAACCAAAUACAUGAAUUUGGGAUAGACAAGUACCGUGCCACGUCUUAUCUCAAUUUCUCAAAAAUAAGAGAAAACACAAACGACUCAACGUUAAAAUGCAAC